UCUACAAGCUGGCCAUUUAUUGACAAAAAACUUUUAUAUUGUAAAUAUUUAUCUUUUUUAUUUCUUUCCUUGUUUACAAGAAAAUAGAUGACUCGAGUGUUACAAACAAUAGUUUUUAAGGAAUAAUGAGAAAUAAGUUAAUUUUUAUAGGAUAAAAAACUUAAUCAACAUGAUAACAUUAGUCCUACCAGACACUAACUUAGUUUUAUAGAUGAUCCUGGAGCAAAGGCUGUAAUUUAACCUGAACCCAAAUUGGUCUCUUUUUUAAAUAUUGUCUUGAACCAAUAAGUUAAGAGGACUAACUUUUCUGGACGACAUUGCCAUCGACAUCACUGCAGAUGAGAGAGAAAGAGAGACCAGAGUUGUGUACCCUGGAGGCAAUUACCAUACUGCUGUGAUAAUGUUCCUUGGUCUAACCAUAACUUAAGUGAGAGCUGAAGCCUACCAGUAAAAUGGGGGUGUUGUAAUUAAUAUCCUCCGACACUGGAGGAUACAGGGGAGAGGUGUCAGUGGAAGAGGAGAUGGAGGAUGGGGCCAGUUUAAGACUAAGAUUGAAGAAAACUAACUUAUGGCCUGAUGACAGGGUGGAUGGCGAUGGAGGCAUGGAGGUUAGGGGAGAGAAGGCUGAAGAAGUGAAGACAAAUCAGUUUAGAUUCAUUAUAAUAAUUAGUUUAAUAUUUAUUUUGAAUACCAGUAUACUUUUAUUUACAUUUUUUUCUCAUUUAGAUUAUUUAAUUAAGAAAAUUUUAUUAUUUUUAUAAAGAUGUUUUCUUAAAUUUUUAAUAUUUGUUUGUACUUCUGCCUGGUAAAAAACAAAACUGUUUAUUAUGCUGGUUAAAAUGAUUACUUCCACUAAUGGACCUUGUCUUGGGUGAAAAGAGAUAUCUUGAUAUUUAACUAGCAGGGUGCCUGUUCUAUCUAUGGGCGGGGAUCGUAUAAGUCAGUUGAAACCUUCUUAUAUUUCGAUAUUUGGUAAAUUAAUCAUU